CGUAGGGUGCGAGCGUUAAUCGGAAUUACUGGGCGUAAAGCGUGCGCAGGCGGUUUAGUAAGACAGGCGUGAAAUCCCCGGGCUCAACCUGGGAACUGCGCUUGUGACUGCUAAGCUAGAGUACGGCAGAGGGGGGGUGGAAUUCCACGUGUAGCAGUGAAAUGCGUAGAGAUGUGGAGGAACACCAAUGGCGAAGGCAGCCCCCUGGGUCGAUACUGACGCUCAUGCACGAAAGCGUGGGUAGCAAACAGGAUUAGAUACCCUGGUAGUCCACGCCCUAAACGAUGUCAACUAGGUGUUGGGAGGGUAAAACCUUUUAGUACCGGAGCUAACGCGUGAAGUUGACCGCCUGGGGAGUACGGCCGCAAGGUUAA
rnacentral:rRNA from 1 species